CAAGGUGCAGGGGUCGUGGUGGCCCCCGGAGGCGAGCGGCAGCGUGGAGCGGACAGAGAGUACGCGGGGGGAGGACGAGGCGGCAGACCACUUGACUUUUUGGUCUGAGCAUGGUUUCUGUAGGCCCUCGUUUGAGGUGACCUAAGACUAACUCGUCUGGGUGUACCUCUACUCGGACGACUCUUCGGCCUGGGAGCGAGGUGAGGGUAACUGCGGGGCCGGCCAGAGGCGGGUCGCGGCGGCGGCGGCCGCCGAAGGGAGGCAUUGUAAGAAGGGCGGCGUCGGAGGAGGCGGUUCGGCUCCCCUGUCCCGCACGUCGUCGCGUUACGCCGUCGCCGUCCUCACCCACCCCCUGACCCAGGCCUCGUUGCUGUGCGAGCAGGCGCGGGAGGGGUAGGAGCAGCCGCCGCGCAGUGAGGAGCGGCAGGAGGAGUUGGCGCGGCAAAGGCCGUAGCGGCGGCAGAGGCUGCGGAGGUCAAGCGUCAGCUCCCGGCUGUAUGAGUGGAACCGCGAGAGACAUUGACUGUAGGAACGGCCGGAACAAACCGACAGUUAGGCGGGCUUUUGGUAAAGAGGCCAGCAAGGAGCUCCACAGCUAACAUUCGCUCACCUACGCCUACAUAGUUCAAGACGAGAAGCACUUGAUGAAACCUGUACCCUGAGGGACUGCCGACGUUGAACAACGUUUAGGAACCAACAACACAUACCUCCAUUAACGUUUGAAGUUUAACCCCAACGACGACGGAGAGGUCUUCUACCAUUACGACAAUUACACCUACGUGUCUUCAAGUACGUUCCAAGGGAAAUGUUCUCACGGUACCUUAGGUUCUUCGUUAGAAUAGAUCGUUUAGAACGAAAUAUAGGACCUUCCUGACUCAACGGUAAAGAUGGUCGAUUGUGUGUCCGAGAUUAUAACGUCGGUUAACCACUGUUUCCUUAACGUCAUUAACCACCACUGUGAUAUUCCCCGAAGUGGUUAGAACUAGUCCGUACCUAACCAUACUAACGUCUGUUUAACCUACGAUGUAACAGUUUCAGAAUUCGAGUGUAACAGGAAAUCUAUAAACUAACUACUAGUAAAGAGAGAAUUAACCGGUAUGUGGGUCUGGUAUAAACGACCUAGGGUCUUCAGUAGCUCCAUGUACACCCUCGACUUUUGCCUCAAAUGUUUUCUUGUAGAGGGUGUGGGAUUGUAAUGUCCGAGCCCAUAAACCCCUUUAAACCAACUGGUUUUAAUACCCUAAUAUAUAUACGGGUUGGCGAUUGUUGCGCGUACUAGGUAGGAAAGUUUCAAAGACUUUACUUAGUGUUUACUCCUCCGUCGACGGGACGAAAAGU
rnacentral:rRNA from 1 species